UUGCCUACGGGACGCAGCAGUGGGGAAUAUUGCGCAAUGGGGGCAACCCUGACGCAGCAACGCCGCGUGCAGGAAGAAGGUCUUCGGAUUGUAAACUGUUGUCGCAGGGGAAGAAGACAGUGACGGUACCCUGUGAGAAAGUCACGGCUAACUACGUGCCAGCAGCCGCGGUAAUACGUAGGUGACAAGCGUUGUCCGGAUUUACUGGGUGUAAAGGGCGCGUAGGCGGGAUAGCAAGUCAGUCAUGAAAUGCCGAGGCUUAACCUCGGAGCUGCGAUUGAAACUGUAGUUCUUGAGUGAUGGAG
rnacentral:rRNA from 1 species